GUGAUUCUUCCCUCACCUCCCUCCUCCCUUCCCACUCACUCUUUGGGGUGGAUUCCCCUCGGAGAGGCAGUGAGGGGGCACAGCAGCCCCCCCUGAGCUCCCCCUGCCCGGGACAGCCCUCGCUGAAGAUCAAAGCAAAUCACAAAUAGCAAGAGGGGAAGAGCUCGUGGGUUUGACAUCUGGAGGCCAGAAACAGCUCCUGCUUUGGAGCAGGCAAGAGCCACCUGGGAAAUGUCUGUGCUGCCUAGCUGGAUAAAACAGAACAGGAGAAUCCCAGAAAAGUUUGGAGUGAAAGGGACCUUAAAGCUCCUCUCAUUCCAUGGGCAGGGACACCUUCCUCUAGUGCAGUCGUUGGGGCAGAUGGGACGAUCAAGUUUCGUGUGAAACCCGAGCUGCAGCAUUUCUGUGCCCGGAUGGAGCUUUCAAUCAGGGUGAUGUAAACACGGCUGCAGCGUUUCGGGGACCGCUCUGUUAGGGAAAUGUGAUGGAUUAAA